rnacentral:piRNA from 1 species
UCCUAGGCUGUAAGGACAUGUAAGG